rnacentral:lncRNA from 1 species
UGAUAACAAAUCUACAUGAAACAUUUGUUUGUUGGGUUGUUAAUUCAAAAAAACACAUGAUAUUUAAUUACAUGAACAUCAACAUAAGAACAAAAAUAGAGCAACUCUGGGCAACUUAGUCUACAUAAUUUGGUCAAAUGCCAAGAGUACACGAAAGUUUGGCUUGAUGCAUGUGGACCCAAAGUGAAGUUGUUAUUCGGCUUCAUUUGGGAGAGGAGGACAAAGCAGGUAGAUCAAAAAUCUUGUCUUUGAUUUCUUGUAGGAUCGACUAGGGCAUUAUUGCAAUUUCUCUAGCCACACAUAAGACUCUAGCUGUCCAGGUAGUUAUAGAAAAUGCGAGGCCAAUUCUAAAGGGCUUGGGAAAUGAGGUGGAUCGUCGAGGAAGAAACUCUCAAUGGACUAAAUCGGUUCAUUAAUCAACGGGACAAGCUAAACUCUCAAUGGAGUAAACUGGUUCAUUAAUCAACAGGGCAAGCCUGUGCUACGAACAUCCACAUUCCCAAUGCCUCCUAAAUCCACAACCACCUCUCUAGCAUCUGUCAAG